CCACAUGACAGUGUGUUAAAUUUAAAUUCUGUUAGUGCUGCACUAAAAGAAUCGUUAGUAAUAAGCUCAUGCAGUGAAGGAACUGAACAAUUGUGGGAUCGUAUUUGGGCUGAAAAUGGGUGUGGUACGGAAACCCAGAAAUAGCACGAGUUCAACAUAAAACAUGAAUUAGAAUUCUAGUGGGGAAUCAAGUCAAGUCUAGAAGUGUUACAGGAUGGAAGAGUGAGCCUACAGUUGAAAAACACUGAAAGUGCAUUACCAUUAAGGUAUGAGGUAAAGUAAUAGAGUAUGCAAAAUGCCUAAUGAGAAGUACCAUCUUGUGUUAAUGAAUCCAGUACAACAGCAAUCCUUUAUAGUUCUGUCACAGCUAGAAGCCUCAAAUAAUUCUGCUUCUCUGUCUAAAGAACAACUUGUCCUUUAUGUUCAGAGUGUUGGGGAAACUGGGUACUUAAAUGGCCCUAAAGAUGUUUUAAUUUUGCUGCUAUUGCAGAGAUGAACAUCAUACAUGGACUCUUUAGGUCUUAUCUACCAAAAAAAAUUUUAUCCAAUAGGAAAGGAUUUUCAUGUACUGGGAAAACAACUAUCAACAAUGCAACAUUCUACAGGUGCUAGUUUAUCAUUCAAGAGCCUUAUACAAUGAAGUUAAUCUGCAAUUUGUAUGUCCUUUCCCAAGCUUCCACCAGAAGUUGAAUCUCUGAGUCAUGUAAGUUCCAUGAUCAACAAUUGAUGUGUUUAACGGUGUUGUUUUUCUUUUCUCAAUGUAGGUUAAUAGUAACAUUGGAUCUGAAAAGAUUUUUGGUUGGGGCAAGACACUGAAUAAAUUGUAUUGAUUGGAUGGAUGACAUGACAUUGCUAUACUUAAUUCGGAUUCCCCAGACGGUAUUUGAUAUUAAAAAAAUUGAAGUGCAUAUCUGG